CCUACGGGUGGCAGCAGUGAGGAAUAUUGGUCAAUGGACGAGAGUCUGAACCAGCCAAGUAGCGUGAAGGAUGACUGCCCUAUGGGUUGUAAACUUCUUUUAUAUGGGAAUAAAACGUUCCACGUGUGGGAUUUUGUAUGUACCCCAUGAAUAAGGAUCGGCUAACCCCGUGCCAGCAGCCGCGGUAAUACGGAGGAGACGAGCGUUAUCCGGAUUUAUUGGGUUUAAAGGGUGCGUAGGCGGGUUUUUAAGUGAGUUGUGAAAGUUUGCGGCUCAACCGUAACAUGGCAGUUGAAACUGGCAGUCUUGAGUACGAUAGAGGUGAGCGGAAUUCGUGGUGUAGCGGUGAAAUGCUUAGAUAUAACGAAGAACUCCGAUUGCGAAGGCAGUUCACUGGACUGCAACUGACACUGAGGCUCGAAAGUGUGGGUAUCAAACAGGAUUAGAUACCCCAGUAGUC
rnacentral:rRNA from 1 species